AUACGGAGGGGGCUAGCGUUGUUCGGAAUUACUGGGCGUAAAGCGUACGUAGGCGGACUGAUCAGUUGGGGGUGAAAUCCCAGGGCUUAACCCUGGAACUGCCUUCAAUACUGUCAGUCUUGAGAUUGGAAGAGGUGAGUGGAAUUCCUAGUGUAGUGGUGAAAUUCAUAGAUAUUAGGAGGAACACCAGUGGCGAAGGCGGCUCACUGGUCCAAUACUGACGCUGAGGUACGAAAGCGUGGGGAGCAAACAGGAUUAGAAACCCUAGUAGUCC
rnacentral:rRNA from 1 species